CCAUUCCUAUUUUCUUAGCUUUGACGCAUAACAGAAGCACGUUCGCCCUUUUUCUUCGCUUGACUCGUUGACACACGAGGAAACCUACUGAAGGAAUUUUUGGGAAACGGUUACAUGAUGGAUUAAUAUAAAUAGAUCUUAAGUGGUGCCCUGACGGGCUCGCUCUCUUUUUUCCAGAUUUCCACGCCGUGCAUUAUUUUUUCAGCAUUAUAUUUUUUCUCAGUAUUCCAUAUUUUCUUCAGCAGUUUAUUACCUUAGCAUUUUUUACUUCCUUUUUCUUUGUUAGCUUAAUUUUUUAGGCAUUCAAUUAAUUUUCUCACAAUAGUUUCUAAACCGGAAACUAUUGUGUAACUUUUACUGGAU
rnacentral:lncRNA from 1 species